rnacentral:rRNA from 1 species
UGGGGAAUCUUCCGCAAUGGACGAAAGUCUGACGGAGCAACGCCGCGUGAACGAUGACGGCCUUCGGGUUGUAAAGUUCUGUUAUACGGGACGAAUGGUACGACAGUCAAUACCCGUCGUAAGUGACGGUACCGUAAGAGAAAGCCACGGCUAACUACGUGCCAGCAGCCGCGGUAAUACGUAGGUGGCAAGCGUUGUCCGGAAUUAUUGGGCGUAAAGGGCGCGCAGGCGGCGUCGUAAGUCGGUCUUAAAAGUGCGGGGCUUAACCCCGUGAGGGGACCGAAACUGCGAUGCUAGAGUAUCGGAGAGGAAAGCGGAAUUCCUAGUGUAGCGGUGAAAUGCGUAGAUAUUAGGAGGAACACCAGUGGCGAAAGCGGCUUUCUGGACGACAACUGACGCUGAGGCGCGAAAGCCAGGGGAGCAAACGGG